rnacentral:rRNA from 1 species
AGGACGAACGCUGGCGGCGUGCUUAACACAUGCAAGUCGAGCGGAAAGGCCCUUCGGGGUACUCGAGCGGCGAACGGGUGAGUAACACGUGAGUAAUCUGCCCCUAGCUCUGGGAUAGCUCCGGGAAACCGGGAUUAAUACCAGAUACGACCACUUUAGACAUCUGUUGUGGUGGAAAGAAUUUUGGCUAGGGAUGAGCUCGCGGCCUAUCAGCUUGUUGGUGAGGUAACGGCUCACCAAGGCGACGACGGGUAGCCGGCCUGAGAGGGCGACCGGCCACACUGGGACUGAGACACGGCCCAGACUCCUACGGGAGGCAGCAGUGGGGAAUAUUGCGCAAUGGGCGAAAGCCUGACGCAGCGACGCCGCGUGGGGGAUGAAGGCCUCGGUUGUAACCCUUUCAGCAGGACGAAGCGAAGUGACGGUACCUGCAGAAGAAGCGCCGGCUAACUACGCGCCAGCAGCCGC